rnacentral:rRNA from 1 species
CCUACGGGGAGCAGCAGUGAGGAAUAUUGGUCAAUGGCCGUAAGUCUGAACCAGCCAUGUCGCGUGCGGGAAGACUGCCCUAUGGGUUGUAAACCUCUUUUAUGCGGGGAUAAAGGUGUCCACGUGUGGCUGUUUGCAGGUACCGCAUGAAUAAGGACCGGCUAAUUCCGUGCCAGCAGCCGCGGUAAUACGGAAGGUCCGGGCGUUAUCCGGAUUUAUUGGGUUUAAAGGGUGCGUAGGCGGGUCUUUAAGGGUGCCGUGAAAUGCUGUGGCUCAACCACGAGAGUGCCGCUCGAACUGGAGACCUUGAGUGCACUGACGGCAGGCGGAAUGCGUGGUGUAGCGGUGAAAUGCUUAGAUAUCACGCAGAACCCCGAUUGCGAAGGCAGCUUGCCGCAGCGUUUCUGACGUUGAAGCUCGAAAGCGCGGGUAUCGAACAGGAUUAGAUACCCUUGUAGUC